rnacentral:rRNA from 1 species
AGAGUUUGAUCAUGGCUCAGGACGAACGCUGGCGGCGUGCUUAACACAUGCAAGUCGAACGAUGAAGCCCUUCGGGGUGGAUUAGUGGCGAACGGGUGAGUAACACGUGGGCAAUCUGCCCUGCACUCUGGGACAAGCCCUGGAAACGGGGUCUAAUACCGGAUAUGACCAUCUUGGGCAUCCUUGAUGGUGUAAAGCUCCGGCGGUGCAGGAUGAGCCCGCGGCCUAUCAGCUUGUUGGUGAGGUAAUGGCUCACCAAGGCGACGACGGGUAGCCGGCCUGAGAGGGCGACCGGCCACACUGGGACUGAGACACGGCCCAGACUCCUACGGGAGGCAGCAGUGGGGAAUAUUGCACAAUGGGCGAAAGCCUGAUGCAGCGACGCCGCGUGAGGGAUGACGGCCUUCGGGUUGUAAACCUCUUUCAGCAGGGAAGAAGCGAAAGUGACGGUACCUGCAGAAGAAGCGCCGGCUAACUACGUGCCAGCAGCCGCGGUAAUACGUAGGGCGCAAGCGUUGUCCGGAAUUAUUGGGCGUAAAGAGCUCGUAGGCGGCUUGUCACGUCGAUUGUGAAAGCUCGGGGCUUAACCCCGAGUCUGCAGUCGAUACGGGCUAGCUAGAGUGUGGUAGGGGAGAUCGGAAUUCCUGGUGUAGCGGUGAAAUGCGCAGAUAUCAGGAGGAACACCGGUGGCGAAGGCGGAUCUCUGGGCCAUUACUGACGCUGAGGAGCGAAAGCGUGGGGAGCGAACAGGAUUAGAUACCCUGGUAGUCC